rnacentral:rRNA from 1 species
UACGUAGGGACCAAGCGUUGUUCGGAUUUACUGGGCGUAAAGGGCGCGUAGGCGGCAAUUCAAGUCAUCUGUGAAAUCUCCGGACUUAACUCGGAACGGUCAGAUGAUACUGCUUUGCUAGAGUGCAGGAAGGGGCAACUGGAAUUCUUGGUGUAGCGGUGAAAUGCGUAGAUAUCAGGAGGAACACCUGCGGUGUAGACGGCUUACUGGACCAUCACUGACGCUGAGGCACGAAAACGUGGGUAGCAAACAGG